CUUGGUCAUUUAGAGGAAGUAAAAGUCGUAACAAGGUUUCCGUAGGUGAACCUGCGGAAGGAUCAUUAUCGAAUACUGGGUAGGCUCUCCGCGCCUCGCUCACUCGCUGAGCGGGCUAAGGGGGUCGACCCGCGUCCCUUCAAACCCCUGUGAACCUUUAAACGCAUGAUUGAGCGAAGCCUUCGGGUGGAGCUCCAUGCUAUUACAAACUCUAGUCUAUACUAUGUCAUAGCGGGCUAACGCCUGUCUAAACAAUGAAACAACUUUCAACAACGGAUCUCUUGGCUCUCGCAUCGAUGAAGAACGCAGCGAAAUGCGAUAAGUAAUGUGAAUUGCAGAAUUCAGUGAAUCAUCGAAUCUUUGAACGCACCUUGCGCCCAUUGGUAUUCCGAUGGGCAUGCCUGUUUGAGUGUCUUGAAAUCAUCAAGCCCCUACGUUUCGCGACGCUAGGAAGCUUGGAGUUGGAGGCUGCAGCCCUUAUCGGGCGGCUCUUCCCAAAUACAUCGGUGUUGGACUGCGCAGUCGCGAGUCUUGAAAAGGGCGUUGUACCAUCCUCGCUCCCGACAGACGUUCGAGUGACCGCAUAGACCCACCUUGACUUAGCCUUCAGAGCGGCGGUCUAUUUCUUUGACUUCUGACCUCAAAUCAGGUAGGGCUACCCGCUGAACUUAAGCAUAUCAAUAAGCGGAGGAAAAA
rnacentral:rRNA from 1 species